AACCUCCGCAAUGUGAGAAAUCGCGACGGGGGGAUCCCAAGUGCCAUUCUUAACGGGAUGGCUUUUCUUAAGUGUAAAAAGCUUUUGGAAUAAGAGCUGGGCAAGACCGGUGCCAGCCGCCGCGGUAACACCGGCAGCUCUAGUGGUAGCUGUUUUUAUUGGGCCUAAAGCGUUCGUAGCCGGUUUGAUAAGUCACUGGUGAAAUCCUGUAGCUUAACUGUGGGAAUUGCUGGUGAUACUGUUGAACUUGAGGUCGGGAGAGGUUAGCGGUACUCCCAGGGUAGAGGUGAAAUUCUGUAAUCCUGGGAGGACCACCUGUGGCGAAGGCGGCUAACUGGAACGAACCUGACGGUGGGGGACGAAAGCUAGGGGCGCGAACCGGAUUAGAUACCCGGGUAGUCCUAGCCGUAAACGAUGCGGACUUGGUGUUGGGAUGGCUUUGAGCCGCUCCGGUGCCGAAGGGAAGCUGUUAAGUCCGCCGCCUGGGAAGUACGGUCGCAAGACUAAAACUUAAAGGAAUU
rnacentral:rRNA from 1 species